rnacentral:rRNA from 1 species
UACGUAGGGCGCAAGCGUUGUCCGGAAUUAUUGGGCGUAAAGAGCUCGUAGGUGGCUGGUCGCGUCUGCCGUGAAAGCCCGCAGCUUAACUGCGGGUCUGCGGUGGAUACGGGCCGGCUAGAGGUAGGUAGGGGCAAGUGGAAUUCCUGGUGUAGCGGUGAAAUGCGCAGAUAUCAGGAAGAACACCCGUGGCGAAAGCGGCUCUCUGGAACGGUACUGACGCUGAGACGCGAAAGCGUGGGGAGCGAACAGG